UACGCUGCCGUGGUCUGCUGCCCCCAGUCGGCCCCCGCGCGUCCAGCAUCUCGCCUUGGACUCCUCUGGCUCGGAACAGCCAGGUUUUAACUCUUCGCUGCGGGGGCCCUCGGGCCUCUCUCUCAAGAGCGGUGCCACCGCCCCGUCCAUCCUCGACUUCUGCCUCCCUCCCUCUUUCUCACAGGCGCCUGAAAACCCUUAUUUGCGCAUUCACUCACGCUUGAGGGUGGGGCGGGGCGGGGGGCGUGGGGACGGCUAAGAUAUGGCAGAAAAUGUUAACAGCUCUGAGGCACUAGUCCUUUCGUUGCUCGUCGCAGAGCCUAAACUCGGUGAGUUUUGGCCCAGACAAAGAACAAUCCGAAACCGAACGCUUGGCCUCAGUGCCCUUCUUGGGCUCCUUCCUGCCCUCGACUCCUGCUGUAGGUGGAAACCUUUUAUAGGCUCUUUGUGACGCCUCCCCAGGCACACCCAGACGCCAAACUGCAGUGAAAAACACGUUCCAGUUCCUCGGUGAACACGGUGUGAAAGGUGGAUUGAGGCAAUUGACAGAACACAAAUUUGAAACCAGGAAGUCUAGCUCCAGAAUCUAGAAGUUUGGGUAUCUCUAAGCAAUAGGACACUACAGACCCUAUUAAGGGCCUGUUAGAAGACCUCAAGAAGAUGAUUUUAUAAAAUAUUUACCAUUGCUUUCUGUUGCUAGCCAGCAAACUACUGUUUAGAUCCUUCUGAACUAUAUCAGUGAUGGAUUUCUAAAAUUUUAGAAAUCAGUGACCCAAGGCUAUUAUGUAAUAUAUUUGUCAUAUUUCUAUAUUAGGAAGGAUUCAUGAGAUGUGCAGGAAAUAAUAAUACACUGCUACAUGUAAUUUAACUUAAUGUUUGUGGAAAUGUUUAUAGAAUAUAAUGGAAAGGGUAUACAUUUUGGGAUUGGAAAGACCUAUAUAUGAAUGCCCCAUUCUGCUACUUGCUAGUUCUGUAACAUUGAAAAGUUUAGUUUCCUCAUCUGUAAAAUGAGAAUAAUAGAUGUAUUUCAUAGGAUUCAGUAAAAAGAGAAUGAAAUAAUGAAUGUGAAACUCUUAAUAGAGCUCAAUAUAUAGUAUCAAUUACUUACGGAAUUUUUUUCCCUCAUCAACUGGGGCAGUUCCUAAACAAACGUCUAAACAAAUUCAUUAAAAUCACAAAGCUGCUAUGCAAUAACAUAGACAGUUGUGUUAAAAUUAAUGGUAUCCCAUGUCAGAGAAAACCAAUCACUAAAGGGGCUAAGAAGGAUAAUAUUAAAAUUCCAUCUUUACCCACAGUCUUUUCUGUGUAGGUAUUCUGAAGGAUAAAACAAUGUACUUGGAAGCCAUAGUAGAAUAUAACAGAAAAGUAUUCACAUGCUUAUGAAGGUUCUCUAAUUACAAAAGAAGAGAUACAUAACAGAUCAAAUGCAUGUGUCACAGUCAUUUUACCUAUCGACUGACAGCCCAGAAGGCAGAAUUGUGGCUUCGCAGAGAUGUCAAUGUCCUAAUCCCAGAACCUGUGAAUGUAUUAUCUUAUGUGGCAAAAUGGACAUUGCAGGUUUGGUUAAGGUUAAGGACCUUGAGAUGGGAAGAUUAUCUUGUAUUAGUCAAUUGGGCCCAAUCUAAUCACAUGAAUCCUUGAAAGUGGAGAAACUUUCUUGGCUGUGGUCAAAGGUAAAGAUGACAAUGGAGGUAUGGCUUUGAAGAUGAAAUAAAGGGGCCAUGAGCUGAGGAAUGUAAAUGGCUUCCAGAAACAGGAAAAGACAAGGAAAUGAAUUCUAUUCUAAAGCCUCUGGAAAGGGACAGUGUUGUCAGUGCCUUGACUUCAGGCCUGUGAGACCUGUAUUAGACCCCUAAACCAUAGAAAUAGAUACUACAUUUAUGUUGUCUCGAGCCACUAAGUUUAUGGUAAUUUGUUAUAGUAGUAAUAGAAAACUAAUACAGACAGUAGAAUAGCCUACCCUAAGGAAAUUAAGACAAAGCAAAAUAUUUUUAGAUCUAAAAUUGACCAAUGUGUCCAUCUACUGUAUCACUACACAUAUAUGUCAUGGAUAACAAUUAUAAGAAAUUGAGUCAACUACUAGUUGACAAAAAUAUGGAAGAUAUUUUUAGCAAUGAGCUCUAAAACUAAUACAGUACAGAAAGUAAUAGCCAUACCAAGGUCUUCAGUGAUUAUGAGAUAAUUUUUUUAAGAGAGAGAGGAGAGGGGUGGGGAAUGGGCAGAGAUAGAGGGAGAGAAAAUCUUAAGCAGGCUCCACACCCAGUGCAGAGCCAAGCACGGGGCUCCAUCUCACAACCCUGAGAUCAUGACCUGAGCUGAAAUCAAAAGUUAGACACUUAACUGAGCCACUCAGGUGCCCCAAGUGAUUAUGAGAUUAUUUUAACUUUGUAGGCAAUGUCACCAAAUUCUUAGCAUCAAAUUAUAAUAAAUAUCCAUCAAACGUGGGGGCCUGGAGCUUAUAAAUUGUGCUGAUUACAUUUCAGCUGGCCAGGUAUAAGCCAAGGAUAGAUAACAGUAGAUCCCCAAACAGCUUUUAGACAUGUUGUAGUAGAAUAAUUAUUGGCAUGCCAUGAAAAAGAAAUGCUAUCAAGACUUACUAAUACAGAUGCUGAAUCAGUGCAGGGAAGCUAAAGCAGCUGUUAGCCAAUCAUGAUCAUAGAGGAAAUUGAGUCAAGGUGACUUAGGAAUAGAUCUGUAAGUACAUAUAGAGCUAGAUAAUACAUAUAACUGCUAGCCAAGAUAGAUUACAAAUCAAUACACGUGGCCAAAAUUUUCUUCCUUGUUUCCUCCAUCUCUCCCUUCUUCCUUCCCUCCCUCCCUCUCUCGUUCCUUCCUCCCUCCCUCUCUCCCUCCUUUAGUUGCUCCCUCCCUUUCUUUCUUCCUGUCUCCCAAGGCAUUUGGUAAAACUUUAUGUGGACAGUGGUUCCUUGAUAAGUACUUAUUGAAUGAAAUGUCUUUGCAGGCAGGUUAAACUAAGAAUAACACUCAACUCUACUGACUACUUAAAGUGGUUAAUAGAAAAUAGAAGUAGAUCAAGGUAAGAAGAAAAAAAAAAAUCCUGCUUUUAGUAGAGCAAGGGCUGAGUGCCUUUAAGUAAUGCCCUUUAUUUUUUUUAAAGAUUUUCUUUAUUUGACAGAGAGAGACACAGAGAGAGGGAACACAAUCGGGGAGCAGGAGAGGGAGAAGCAGGCUUCCCACUGAGCAGGGAGCCCGAUGCAGGGCUCCAUGGGGGGUUCAAUUCCAUGACCCUGGGAUCAUGACAUGAGCCAAAGGCAGACGCAACUGAGCCACCCAGGCGCCCCAAGUAAUGCCCUUUAGACUCUAUAUGCUGUAACUGCUUUUGAAUGACUCAUGUAAAUGGCAUUAUACUGUAAGUUUCUUUCAACCCUUUCAGAGAAAAAUGAAUUUCAAACUUUUUUCUCUUGAAGUAGAAUUAAAAGAAGUUAGAAAAUUAAAACUUCAGAACUAUCAGCCUUGUAAAAUAAAUAAAGGAACUUUUCCCAAAAUUCUUCUAUUGUUAACAAGGUUUGCAUUUUCUAGCCUUCUGUUUUCAUAUUGCACAAAUUAAUUCAGAAAACAAAAUGAUAUAGAGGAAAGCUUAUGAUGAAAUCAACUGAAGAAUUCUUUAUAUAUUUCCUUUAAAGUUAUAGAAAUAGUAUUAUUUAUUCUUAAGUAUUGUUUAUUCUUGCUUAAGAAUAGACUUGGAUAUCCCAAAUUAAAUUCUAGGGCUCCUCGCCUCAAAAAAAAAAAAAAAAAAAAAGGAAACAAGGUAUCUAACAAGGAAUACGAC